GAGGGUAUAGCUCAUUGCUAGAGACCAUGAUUAGCAUGCACGAGGUCCUGGGUUCAAUCCCCAGUACUUCCA
rnacentral:tRNA from 1 species